UACGAAGGGGGGCUAGCGUUGUUCGGAUUUACUGGGCGUAAAGCGCACGUAGGCGGAUUGUUAAGUCAGGGGUGAAAUCCCGGAGCUCAACUCCGGAACUGCCUUUGAUACUGGCAAUCUUGAGACUGGAAGAGGUUAGUGGAAUUCCCAGUGUAGAGGUGAAAUUCGUAGAUAUUGGGAAGAACACCAGUGGCGAAGGCGGCUCUCUGGGACGGUACUGACGCUGAGACGCGAAAGCGUGGGGAGCGAACAGG
rnacentral:rRNA from 1 species